UACGUAGGUGGCAAGCGUUGUCCGGAAUUAUUGGGCGUAAAAGCGCGCGCAAGCGGCCUCUUAAGUCUGAUGUGAAAGCCCCCCGGCUCAACCGGGGGAGGGCCAUUGGAAACUGGGAGGCUUGAGUAUAGGAGAGAAGAGUGGAAUUCCACGUGUAGCGGUGAAAUGCGUAGAGAUGUGGAGGAACACCAGUGGCGAAGGCGACUCUUUGGCCUAUAACUGACGCUGAGGCGCGAAAGCGUGGGGAGCAAACAGG
rnacentral:rRNA from 1 species